rnacentral:rRNA from 1 species
GGGGGGGGGGGGGGGGGGGGGGGGGGGGGGGGGGGCGGGGGGGCGUGUCGGGGGGGGGGGCGGGGGGGGGGGUAGCACGGGGGAACGUGCGUUUGGGUUCGGGAUACCGCAGGGGCACUUGUGCUAAUACCGAAUGUGCCCUUCGGGGGAAAGAUUAAUCGCCUUUCGAGCGGCCCGCGUCUGCUUAGCUCGUUGGUUGAGGUAAUGGCUCACCAAGGCGACGAUCAGUAGCUGGUCUGAGAGGAUGAUCAGCCACAUUGGGACUGAGACACGGCCCAAACUCCUACGGGAGGCAGCAGUGGGGAAUCUUGCGCAAUGGGCGAAAGCCUGACGCAGCCAUGCCGCGUGAAUGAUGAAGGUCUUAGGAUUGCAAAAUUCUUUAACCGGGGACGAUAAUGACGGUACCCGGAGAAGAAGCCCCGGCUAACUUCGUG